UACGGAGGGGGCUAGCGUUGUUCGGAAUUACUGGGCGUAAAGCGUACGUAGGCGGCUUUGUAAGUUAGCGGUGAAAGCCCGGGGCUCAACUCCGGAAUUGCCUUUAAGACUGCAUCGCUCGAAUCAUGGAGAGGUGAGUGGAAUUCCGAGUGUAGAGGUGAAAUUCGUAGAUAUUCGGAAGAACACCAGGGGCGAAGGCGACUCACUGGACAGGUAUGGACGCUGAGGGGCGAAAGCGUGGGGAGCAAACAGG
rnacentral:rRNA from 1 species